CGCGCGCGGCGGCGCCGGGGGCCCACUGCGCAGGCGCCCCGCACCUCGCGGGCUGGGAAUCUCCUGCCAGCGGGACUUCGGUUCGCCAAUCCCUGCACCGUGACUUGGGCCGGGAUCGUUUCCACGUGUGCCUUUUGAGUCGAACUUGGCCGUGGCGCGGCCAGACGUUUCUCCUCACCCUGUCCAGCAGGUUGCAUGAAACACGUGCACUUAUUUUACCCGCGAUAAGACCCUCUGCUGGCAUCAAGCAAGCAGGAUCUUGAAAACUCACUUUUCCAGCGAAAGAAUCCCUGCAUCAAAGGGAAACUGAAUCUGAAAUGAAGACCCAGGCACCCAGGAGAACAUAGCUUCUCUGUAAUGUUCUAACACUGGAGGGAUCUGUUCUGAGACCAACAGUCCGAUACAUAUUUCUGCCUUUUUUCUCAGGCUCCCUUGACGUUAAUUCUGUCAUCACUCUAAUCAAGGAGCUCUGUAAUGAUUGGCCUGUGUGUUUGUAAGAAAUUUCAAGACUGGGAGCCAGCCUGAAGCAUACCUGUUGCCCCUGAGUCAGCACAGUGCCUGGAACUUGGUGUCCAGGAGGGAUUCAAAAUACAUUGUUUGAGCGAGAGAGUGUUCCAGAAGCUACGUGGAUCAAAGGCCAGUUAUUACUGUACCUGUUAACUCUUUAUCGGUGAUAGGAAGUGAAAGAUGGGUGAACAUAGGUAUCUCCACAUGCAGAGGUUGGGUGAGUUGUGUCUUUCAAAUCACUCCCCAUGUGUUCCCAGAGUCUUUGCUUCUUUGUGUAUCUUGGAUGCUCUGUUUUUCCCUCAAAUACAGAAUUGGCUUCAUAUGGUGUCUGUGCUCGAAAAUUCAGUAAAAUCUCCCAAAUACAAAGUGAUCUGAGCAAAAAAUACCUCUCAAAUUUUUCCCUUUGAUCCAUGAGUGUAUCACAGGGUAAAUACAGGACUUUUACUUCUGUGUUCUGUGAGUAAUGGCACAGAUGGGCAACCAAGGGCGUGAACACAAAGAUGAAUGGAUGUCAAAUCCAGGUGAGUCCUUCCGUUCUCUCCAAGAGGCAGCACUCCUUUAUUUCUCCUGCUUCUUUGGUCACUACCUCUAGUUCCCUGACUGCUCUGUCUCUCCUUUUCACUGACAUUGUCCCUGUGCAUUCUUCUCAUUCAGCACCUAAACCCUUUCUAGUGUUCCUCUGUCACAUGUCAGAGUGGAAUGCUAAAUCCUCAGGAAGGAACUGUAAGCACCCUCCACCCUUAUUGUAUAUUGCUAAGUGCAUUCAUCUCCCCCCCGCCACCCCAUAUUCCUGAUCCCCUUUACCUUGGCCUGAAUUGCCUCUUAGUUACACUUAUCACCUAAAACACUGUGUUAUUUACUUGUUUAUUAUGUUGAUUGCUUAUUUCUCUCUCCUCCCCCCCACCAUAGCUCCUGCUUGACUAGAACCUCUUGAUCUUAGGAAUCUUUGUCUCUUGCCCACUGGGCAAGAGCAGCUCAGAACAUUGCUGAGCACACAUUGUAGUCGUCCGGACCCUAUCUGUUGGUAUACUGGACCUAUCUGUCUCCCUUGCUACAUUGUGACACCCUUGAAGGCAAGGGCCAUGUUUCAUUGUUCUUUGUCAGUCCACCAUCCAGAACAAUUUCUGAUACAAGUGGAAAGGCAUCGCUGAAUAUUUGUUGAAUUAAUUAGUUAAUUGAUCCUUUGAAAGUGACACUGGUAGGGCAAACAUUCUGUUUCCAAACUGCAGUUAUUCUAGUAGGUGCCAUUGGUGUCAGCACCAUGUAUGGAUCAGCUGCCAUGCUAACUAGGCUAGUCAGCUGGGAGAUGUCUGCUGGCUAGAAGUCUGCCUCAUUUUUUGUGGAUCCCUCAUAGGGCUAGCACUGUUCUUCCUGCACAGCAGGAUGUAGAGUGGUGUUUCCAGAUCUUUGUCAUUCAUCACUGGAUGGCUUUAUCUGUGCAGGAUGUGUAGCAUAAUUUACAUAAUAUGUUUCAAAAUAAAACUGUAUCUUUGGGAAUAAAAGAUAAUUAUAUAAUUAAACAGACAAAAUGAAGGCAAUGAACUGAUGUAGUUGAAAUAAAUGUUGAGGUUCAUGUUAAGUAAUAGUGUACAUAAUGAUGGCCACUGCACUAGGCUCUUCAUUGAUCUUUCAUUUGAUCCUACAAAAAAAUGCUUCAAAGGAAAUAUCCUCAUUCCUAUUUCUCUUUCUUCAGGGAAGAUAUUGAGAUCAAGGGCAUAGUGGAAAUUGCCCAGGAUCUGAAAGCUAAUGGUAGCUACAUGAGGUGGAAACUUGGGGCUCAUUGAUGAUAACACCCCAGAAAGUCUGCAGUGGAGGCCGACCCUGCUUAACUUGCCCCCAGCAGUCCUGUUUGUUCCCCUUCCAUUUUCUGCUGUUUCACCUCCACCAUUUCAUCCACCAUUUCAUCGUGUCUGCCAGCAUUUCAGAAGCUCUCUUCCCAGGAUUCUGUCCCCUGCUUCUUUGGCACAGUGUUGGUAUAUUCAACACUGGUUCUGGUUGUGGCAGAUGAAAGUUGACUGUUUUGCGUCCUUCUGAAGGAACAGAGUAAUUGUGAUUUAUAACUCUUUCAUGACUUUUGAUGAUUGUGGAUCCUGAGGAAGGUCCUCGGCUGCAGAGCUGGUUUCUUUGUGCAAGAACCCUAUUCUUAAAACAAACAAACAAACAAACAAACAAACAAACACCCUAUUUUUGGCAGGACGCCCUUCUCUUCCACAAAGGUAUCAGACCUGCCCAGGAGGAAAGAUAGUUUCCUUAUCAAUGACACUGAGCACCCACAGGCCCGGACACCACUAGACCAGUUCCCUCAGAGGCAAAACAGGUUUCUCAGGGUCACCGAGCUGUUCCAAAAAUUUCAUAGGCUCCUUAGAUAAAGAUAACAAGGCACAUGCAAAUGAUGUUUGGCAUCAAUUUGGGAAAAGGAAAACAGCUGCAUCCCUUCUUUCAGAGUAAAAGCUUUGAGUACCCCCAGUAAAAUCAGCCUGUGUGGAAAGAUGCACCGUUAGUGAGCACUAUGGUAGAGUAGCUAUGACCAGGGGUUCUGAGCCAAGCACUUUCUCUGAAAUUUGAUAUUGUUAAGAAAACAGCAUUUCCUUUUCUUUUUUUCCAUCUUCCUUUGGGUUACUUACUUCAAGGCAAGUUCAAAAAUUAUUGCUUUUGUUCUUUUUCCCAAAGUACAAUAUUGUAUCUCCUAGUAGAGGACACCAAUUAGACUCUUAGCUUCUGAAGUUCACUUUAACUUUGAUCAAAUAGCUUUUUCUACCAGCCUACAUCUCAAAGGAAGUAUCCUGGAUUUGUUGCUUUGGAUGAACUUUCUGAUGUCUAUAAUUCUUAAAAUCCUCAUAAAGGAAUCCUACUUGGUUUUUUGUUUCUUUGUUUCUUAGCUACUAUAACAGAAGACCCAAUAAAAGCUCUUCGAGGGCCUACCAUGUUUCAGGUCUUUUGCUUAUCUUGCUGAUAAUUGUCAUACAAUUCCUAUGACAUAAGUACCGUUACUCCAAUUUCACAAUUGAGGAUAUUGAGGCCCAGAAAGAUAGAUACGUUGGCCCUGACACGUGAGUAGAGUGGCAGAGCUGACAUUAGGACUGCAGU